CGCGGCAGGCUUAACACAUGCAAGUCGAGCGCCUCGCAAGAGGAGCGGCAGACGGGUGAGUAACGCGUGGGAAUCUACCCAUCUCUACGGAACAACAGUUGGAAACGACUGCUAAUACCGUAUACGCCCUUCGGGGGAAAGAUUUAUCGGAGAUGGAUGAGCCCGCGUUGGAUUAGCUAGUUGGUGGGGUAAAGGCCUACCAAGGCGACGAUCCAUAGCUGGUCUGAGAGGAUGAUCAGCCACACUGGGACUGAGACACGGCCCAGACUCCUACGGGAGGCAGCAGUGGGGAAUAUUGGACAAUGGGCGCAAGCCUGAUCCAGCCAUGCCGCGUGAGUGAAGAAGGCCCUAGGGUUGUAAAGCUCUUUCACCGGUGAAGAUAAUGACGGUAACCGGAGAAGAAGCCCCG
rnacentral:rRNA from 1 species